rnacentral:rRNA from 1 species
CAGAAAGACCCUAUGAAGCUUCACUAUAACUUGAAAUAGUAUUUGGGUUUUGCUUGCGCAGCAUAGGUGGGAGGCAAAGAGUACUUCAUUCGGGUGAAGUAGGAGCCGACUUUGAGAUACCACUCUGGUAAAACUAAAGUACUAACCAUGAUCCUUAUAUUCAGGACAUGAGACAGUUUCAGGUGGGUAGUUUGACUGGGGCGGUCGCCUCUUAAAAAGUAUCAGAGGCGUACUAAGGUUCUCUCAGACUGGACGGAAAUCAGUUAAGGAAUGCAAAGGUAAAAGAGAGCUUGACUGUGAGACCUACAAGUCGAUCAGAAGCGAAAGCUGGUCUUAGUGAUCCGACGAUGCUGUGUGGAAAGGUCGUCGCUCAACGGAUAAAAGUUACUCUAGGGAUAACAGGCUGA